UACAUUUGUUUAAAACACAUUGUGCAAGGAAGCUUUCAGUGACCUCAAGCAUUAAGUGGCAAACUGUGGUGAACAUAAACAGCAAGUCAAGCAGAACAUUUUCACGCCGACAACAAACUUGUGAUUUCCCACCUAACCUAACCUAGUUUACGUCACACCAAAACUCAUGUUCAGCCUUUAGCAAGUGUUAUUGUUAAAAUGACCCUCAUUUCAAACCUCUUAAUUUUCCCAUCUAACAAAAAAUGAGAAUUUUCUGCUCAGUUUAUACUCAUGUUUGUGAAGUCAUACAGUUGAAAUGUGUGAUAACCAGACCAAAAUUAAUGAACCAGAUCAGUCAAAUUUGUAAAAGAAUUAUUCAAUAUGAUUUGUGUACCAGUUAAAACUGGUUCAAUACAUUAAAAAAAAAAAUUAAAUAUGAAUGUAAAUGUGAAUAAAAGGUUCUAAAGUAACGCUUUACAAUAAGGUUUCAUUUGUUAACAUUUGUUUACUACAUUUGUCAACAUAAACUAACAAUGAACAACACUUCUACAGCAUUUAAUGUUAAUCUCAACAUUUACUGAUACAUUUUUUCAGAUAUGAAUGUAAAUGUAAUGUUAACCAGACAGCGGAGGUGUAACUUUCAUUUGUGUGAUGAAGGAAACGCACGUGGUAAAAAUCAUUUCUGCCGGUGAUCUCAUUAUACUCGCACAUCAACAGCAAUGAUCCUGUUUGUUUUGAUCUGCAUGAUCUUCAUCAUCUCAGGUAAGUCAUUUUUCUUGCAUCUAACGGACAGUUUUAGUUAGUGUUUGAACCUGAAUGACUAAGAUGCAACUUUGUCUGCUAAUUUUAAGAUUUAGGCAGCUUUUGCUUGAAUGAACUGUCUUCAUCUCAUCACUUUAGGUGCACAAGAUGUUCGUACCGUCAGUGAAGUGUCUGUCCAAGAAGGAAAAUCUAUCAUCAUCCCUUGCUGGUAUAAUCAUAUUUAUGUAAAUAAUGUUAAAUAUCUGAGUGCUGGAGAUCACUGGGCCUUUAGUAGGUAUGUUGAGUUCUCAGAUGGGAGAAACAAACACAAGACAGUCUCCAUUUCAGAUAACAGAAACGCUAACGUUCUGACUAUUGACAUGAGGAAUAUUCAGCAGAGACAGAGCGGCACGUACUGGUGUGCGAUUGAUGUACCUAGAUCUCCUGUUAGAAAUAGCUUCAACUUAAAGGUCACAGCAGGUGAAAUUGACCAGACCUUUUUUAAUAAUUUUAAAUGACUUUUCCAACAUCAAUGGAAAUAGUCAUAUCUGCUUGCUCUUUCUUUGUCAUUUUAGCUAUCUCUGGUCUGUACGUUGGAGAUCAGAUGUUGACUGGUUUUGAAGCCGGUAGUCUUACCGUCUCCUGCCAUUAUCAUUUGCCAAGAAAAACUGGCAUAAAAUGGUGUAAGCUUGGAGGAAAGUGUGUGGAAGAAGCAUGUGGGACUUUGGACGGGGCGUCUGUGGAGAUCAGGCAUGAUCAUGGGUUAGUGAUUGUGAGCAUGAGUGGAUUGAAGAUGGAGAACACAGGAUGGUACUGGUGCUCAGUGAUGGAACUACAAAUGCCUGUUCACAUCACUGUAUCUGCGAGAAUAGAAACCACCACUACACUCGAGACGACCUCGAACCAGCCCGUGUCGACCGGCUCUGUGAAAUCCACAGGAACCUUCACAUCUGCUCAGACUCCACAUUCCAGUGACAGAAGUCCAUUAUUAUGUCUGAUCAUGUUGGUGAUUGUGAUUUUGAGCUGUUGUGCAGUGACUGUGAUCAUGCUGUGCAAAAUCAGUCAGUUAUCUCCGAACCAAGAAGAAAAUGGAACAUCAUAACAAAUUAAGCCCCUGUUUCGGAACAAAGCAAAAAAGUUUUUGUCUACUGGAAGUUUUUGGAAAGAUGUUUGUCAGCUGGUGUUGUUUAACAGUACAAAUCCUGAAAUACUGAUGGAAUAAAGAGACUUUACAAUAUGGUUUAUUUGUUAACAUUAGUUAACUAUUUUUGUUUAUGAACUAACAACGAACAAUACUUCUACAGCAUUUAUUAAUCUUAGUUAAUGUUAAUUUCAACAUUUAAUACAUUAUUACAAUCAAAAAUGGUAUCUGUUCAUAUUUAACGGACUUGAGCUUACAUGAACUAACAACAGCUCAGCUGUAUAUCAUGUGAAUGUGUUGUUUAAAAUUGUUUAAAGUGUUUCUUGAGUUUUUUUUUUUUUUUUUUCACCUGUUCUGGUGGCUGUGUGAUGUAUGCCAAAUUUAGAUCUUGACAAACAGACCAUAUGUGGGUUAAGUGUACUAAGGUGGCAUUGCCAAAACAGGAAGUGAUUGUUAGAUGUCGAGAAAAUGCCACCACAGUGUGACCAAUAGACAGAGGCUGGACCUUUUAUACAAAACCAAGACAACACUGUGUAUAAAAUACAACAAUGAUGUACUUGACAUUUAGCUGGAAGUAAAGUACUCAUCAGAAGCAAUUUAAAGCAGCUGAAUUACAGGCUCGAGUCACCUGAGGUUAAGUGCUGUAGUUGCAUUCAUGCACAAUGGUGUAUCACAGUUUCUUGGUCAUGUCUUAUGGGAGAAGAUUUUGAGUUAGUUAUGAAAGAAGAAAAUGUAAGAAUUAUGAGCAAUUCUGUGUGAAACCUGUAUUUGAAUUUGACUGGUUCCUCACAUAUUCUGAUGUAUCAAGAUUAGUCCAUUAAAGUCACCAUUAAAUCAAUUUUGGAAUAUUGCAGUGUUUAUUCUAAAUGAUUUAUCAAUGCACAUCAUCAUUAUUGUGUUAAAUUCAUGUUCCUCGUGAUCUUGAAUCAGAAUAACUUUCCCUCCCUCUUGCAGUGACUUCUCUUCUCUGAUGAUGAGGGCGGGGCAACCUGUCAUUCAAAUGAGAUCCACCAAUAGCAAACCACAACCAUCCAAUCAAUUCCCCACAGACAAAACCAAGCCCCGCCCUACAUUUGUUCUUGUUCCAGAAGCCGUUUCACCUGAAUAUAUGUCACAAUAGAGAAGAAAAGACAAGCGCAACUUCCCUUUCAUGACUUUAAACGCCUGUAACGUAGGUUUUGUUUUAGUUUUUACUGUUUCCUGUUCUGGUUUGCCUGUGUUCAUUGUUCACUUUGCUUAUUAGUUUCCAUGGUUAUUAAUUAGUUUCACACUUUCUGUUUCCUGAUAAUUUACUCUCCCCCAUGUCAUCCAUGAUGUUUAUGUCUUUCUUUCUUCAGUCAAAAAGAAACAAAAGUUUUUUUAAGAGAAAACAUUCCAGGAUUUUUCUCCAUAUAGUGGAAAAAAAUAAACUUAGAGAGCAGGCUUAACCUGUUCUUUAAUAUUUGAAUAAAUCCGUUUUAUGACAGCCACCAUUUAAAUAUUUAUAUUAAAACAAGUAGAAACAUAAUUAUGUAAUUAAAAAUGUAUUGUUAUUAUAAAAACUACCUUAUGUGUAAUUUAAAUAUAAGUAGCCUACAAAUGAGGUAAUUUUAACCUUUAAUAUUAUAAUGUACCAACUGGGGUUCCCAUAGUUUACUGCAUUAGUUGAGAGAUAUUUUUUCUUUGAGGAAAUUUGCCAUGUACUGUACCUGAUAGGCCCCAAAUUAAUCAAUAUCAAAUUAAAUUGAAUCGAAAUCGAAUUGAAUAGUGAAAUCUGUGUCAAUGCCCAGCCCUAGUGUCAAUAAAUGUUGUUUUAUUUUCUAUAAAAUUUUUAUACAUUUUUUUUUAUUUAAAAAAAAAAAAAAAAAAAAUCCUACAAGGAUUUAAUUGGAAACACGUCACCUUUUUCACUACUUGUGAGUUUGCAGGUCAGAGUGUUGUAGCUAAGUGUUUCAACGUUAAAGUGUUUCAACAUUUUAUCUGCAACAGAUCUAUAUAAUUAAAAAACACAAUUAUCUCAGCUUUGAUCAGAUCUGCAGCAGGAUACUCUCAUAGAUGCAGCUGUUAUAAACACUAGCAGAGGUUACUGUGGUAAAGGAAGGAGAUACAGAAACAGCUCAUGCAAAUUAUGUUAAAUACAAGCAUUUUGUCUUACAUUAUAUUUUUUCUCCAUUUAACUUAGCAAUCAGUGAUAAAAUAUAAACUAUUAUUAUGUGCUUUGUGAGGAGAAUGUGUUAAAACGAUGUCAAGUGCAUGAUAUGUUUGCAUACAGAGUACAGACUGCAGUGCAUUAGCGCUCACAAGUGCUGUGCCCUCUCUAGGGUGAAAUAAACACAGUCCUGCCCUCAUUCUCAUUCUCACUCUGCCAGCAAGAUGAUGGUGACUGUACUAGUCAUGUUCCUCAUCACACACUCUUCAGGUAUGACAAAAACUCAAUUACGCUGUCUGUCUGUGAUUUUGGGAAUGUGUUGAAGCUGAUAUAGUGUGUGUAAUAACAAGCUAUUGAGCACAAUUAUCCUAUAAUUUAGCUGUUGUGAAACAAAAAUAUUUUUCAUAUUCCUCACCAUUAACUUUGCCAAGAACGAUUCACUGGCACAGAUGGCGUCUACAGUCUGUAUUAUCGAGUAACAUUACAUGCUGUAGUAUAACAUGGAUGGAAAUAUGCAUCCUGAGAUGAGCUCCUGCAUACUGUAACAAGGCUUUGUAAGCCUAACUUUUGCUGACAUUUAAUGGUACCCUUCAGCUUUAAUAAAAUCUUUAGUGGAAAUAUUCAUUUCAUUAUUACUAUUUUUUUUUCUUUCCGCAGGAACUCAAGACAUUCAUACAGUCAGAAAAAUAUCUGUUCAAAAAAAUCAAACUAUCAUAAUCCCUUGUUUAUAUGAUCAGAAAUAUGUCAAUAACUCAAAAUAUGUGAGUUCUGGAGGUUCUUGGUACUUCAGUAGUCCUGUAACACACGGCAGAAUGUCUGUUGUGGAUAACCAAACAGAAAAGGUUUUUACGGCAGCGCUGAGUAACGCUGAAGUGAGUGACACUGGCACAUACUGGUGUGGGAUCAGAGUAUCUGGAUCUGAUCCUGCUGCAAAAUUUUACUUGGAGGUUUUAAAAGGUAUCAUUUAUUUUGUGUAGCAUUCUAAACCAAUCCAGCUGUUUCUGAUGGAAGCUAUUUUCCGGCCACAGAAUAAUAAUAAAAAAAAAAAGUAAUUGUAACUUUUUAUUUCGCAAUUCUUUUUUUCUUGCAGUUCUGAGUUUAUAUCUUGCAAUUCCGACUUAAAUAAACUUGUAAUCUUGUUGUAAUAAAUUUGUAAUCUUGCAAUUAUGAAUUUAUAUCUUGCAAUUCUGACUUCUCAUAAUUGCAACAUAAAAACUUGUAAUCUUGUAAUAAAUUCGUAAUCUCGCAAUUACAAAUUUAUAUCUCACAAUUCUGACAUUUUUCUCGCAGUGUUGCAUUUAAAUCUUGCAAUUGAGACUUUUUCUCACCAGUUUCGAGUCUAUUUCUCGCAAUUCUGACUUUCUUACAAUUGUGACUUUAUAUCUCGCAAUUCUGACUUUUUUCUUGCAGUGUCCAGUUUUGGAUAGUCCAGUUUAUAUCUUGCAGUUUGGACUUUAUAACUUGUAAUAGCAUGUUUAUAUCUCAGAAUUCUGAGAAAAAAAGUCAGAAUUGCAAGAUAUAAACUCACAGUUGCAAGAUAAAAAGUCAGAAUUGUGAGAUAAUUUAAUUUUUUUAUUCUGUGGAGCAAACAAGCUUCCAUGGUUUUCUUCUUCUCAUAUUCCAGAAUGUACAAAUUUAGACAAGAAUUAGCAAGAAAAAAAAACGCAUUCGUCUUUGACGUUUUGUGUGAAAUGUUUAGGUAAACCCAGACUCCAUGUCUCCAGUCAAAGCGUGUCAGACUAUGAGGGUGGGUACACUGACGUCAUCUGUCACGGGGCGUCACAGUGGUGUCAGAUCGGAGGCUCUUGUGUUGGGAGGAAUGGAACCUCAAAUAAAACUACGGUGCAUAUCAGUGGUGAUGAUGACGCUCUGAAUGUGACCUUGAGCGAACUGAAGAGAGAGGACAGUGGAUGGUACUACUGCCCUGAUGGGGAAUCACAGAUGCCGGUUCAGAUUAUCGUGAGGAAGGCCCCAUAUACAGGACGAGUCACUGUUCAAUAUACAGGUCACACCACAGCAUCCAGUCAAGACAAGU